rnacentral:rRNA from 1 species
GGUAGGGGAUGACUUGUGGAUCGGAGUGAAAGGCUAAUCAAGCUCGGAGAUAGCUGGUUCUCCUCGAAAGCUAUUUAGGUAGCGCCUCAUGUAUCACUCUGGGGGGUAGAGCACUGUUUCGGCUAGUGGGUCAUCCCGACUUACCAAACCGAUGCAAACUCCGAAUACCCAGAAGUGCCGAGCAUGGGAGACACACUGCGGGUGCUAACGUCCGUCGUGAAAAGGGAAACAACCCAGACCGCCAGCUAAGGUCCCAAAGUUGUGGUUAAGUGGUAAACGAUGUGGGAAGGCUUAGA